GUUGGGUGCAGUGGUGCACACCUGUAAUUCCAGCUGCUUGGGAGGCUGAGGCAGGAGGGUCGUGAGUUCAAAGCCAGCCUCAGCAAAAGCAAGGCACUAAGCAACUCAGUGAGACCCUGUCUCUA
rnacentral:sRNA from 1 species